CCUACGGGUGGCAGCAGUGGGGAAUAUUGCACAAUGGGGGAAACCCUGAUGCAGCGACGCCGCGUGCGUGAAGAAGGAUCUCGGUAUGUAAAGCUGCAUCUGCAGGGAAGUAAUAGCGACCUUGGGGUCGCCAGACGGUACGUGAUAAAGAAGACCCGGCUAACUACGUGCCAGCAGCCGCGGUAAUACGUAGGGGGCAAGCGUUAUCCGGAUUUACUGGGUGGAAAGGGAGCGUAGACGGCAGCGCAAGUCUGAAGUGAAAUGCCGGGGCUUAACCCCGGAACUGCUUUGGAAACUGGGCAGCUAGAGUGCAGGAGAGGUGAGUGGAAUUCCUAGUGUAGCGGUGAAAUGCGUAGAUAUUAGGAGGAACACCAGUGGCGAAGGCGGCUUACUGGACUGUAACUGACGUUGAGGCUCGAAAGCGUGGGGAGCAAACAGGAUUAGAUACCCGUGUAGUC
rnacentral:rRNA from 1 species